rnacentral:rRNA from 1 species
AUGGGGUUCAUCUCGGGGAUCAUGAUGGGGUUCAUCCUCGGCGUCGCCCUCAUCGCCGGCUGGGCGAGCGCCAUGGCUCGCCGCGCCCACAAACGCAGUGCCAAGGCUGCCGAUGUCAAUGUGCUAGGAUCUCUCAACCGUGAGGAUCUGAAGAAAAUAUGCGGAGAAAAUCUCCCUCAAUGGAUUUCAUUCCCGGAGUAUGACCAGGUUAAAUGGCUCAACAGACAAUUGAGCAAGCUUUGGCCCUUUGUUGAGGAGGCAGCAACCAUGGUCAUCAGGGACUCCGUGGAGCCUAUACUCGACGUUUAUCGACCGGUGGGGAUAUCCUCACUCAAGUUCAGCAGACUCUCACUAGGCACCGUGCCACCUAAAAUUGAAGGCAUUCGGGUCCAGAGCUUUCAGAAAGGGCAGAUCACGAUGGACAUUGACUUCAAGUGGGGCGGGGAUCCGAAUAUCAUCCUUGCAGUUGAAACUCUAGUCGCUUCACUCCCCAUUCAGUUCAAGAACCUUCAGGUGUUCACCAUCAUCCGCGUGGUCUUCCAAUUGUCUGACGAGAUACCAUGCAUCUCCGCUGUUGUUAUUGCUCUUCUUGCAGAGCCAAAACCGAGGAUCGACUACACACUGAAGGCGGUCGGGGGAAGCCUGACCGCGAUGCCCGGACUGUCAGACAUGAUCGACGACACCGUGGCGUCAUUGAUCACUGACAUGCUCCAAUGGCCGCAUAGAAUCGUCGUUCCACUGGGCGUUGACGUGGACAUAAGUGAUCUGGAGCUGAAGCCGCAUGGGAAGGUGACGGUAACGGUGGUGCGCGGGGAGUCGCUCAAGAACAAGGAGUUCAUCGGCAAGUCGGACCCCUACGUGGUGCUCUUCAUCCGCCCCAUGUUCAAGGAGAGGACCCGGGUCAUCGACGACAACCUGAACCCGGAGUGGAACGAGACGUUCGAGCUCAUCGCCGAGGACAAGGAGACGCAGCACAUCAUCCUGGAGGUGUUCGACGAGGACAGCCUGAAGCAAGACAAGAGGCUGGGCAUCGCCAAGCUGGCCCUGAGCGACCUGGAGGUGGAGAGCGUGCAGGAGAUCAACCUGCAGCUGCUGUCGUCGCUGGACACCACCAAGGUCAAGGACAAGAAGGACCGGGGCGUGCUCACCGUCAGGGUGUUCUACCACCCGUACACCAAGGAGGAGGCGCUGCGGGCGCUGGAGCUGGAGAAGAAGACGGUGGAGGAGCGGCUGAAGACGAGGGUGGCGACGGGGCCCGCCGACGCAGCCAAAGGCGCGGCCGCUCCGUCCACGGUCACCAACAUGGCCGGCACGGGCGUCGCGGCGGGCGCUGCCGUGGCCGGUUCGGACGUUCACAAGGACGGGUCGGGCGUUCACAAGGACGGGCCGGGGGUUCACAUGGUGGGCACGGGGAUCGACGCGGUCGGCAAAAGCAUCACCAAGGCCGGCAAGUUCGUCGGCCGGACUGUCACAGGGCCCUUCAGCAGCCAGAGGCGCAGCGCCGCAAGCGUGCCGACGGUCGACGAGUGA